AUUGAACGCUGGCGGCAGGCUUAACACAUGCAAGUCGAGCGGUAGCACAAGAGAGCUUGCUCUCUGGGUGACGAGCGGCGGACGGGUGAGUAAUGUCUGGGAAACUGCCUGAUGGAGGGGGAUAACUACUGGAAACGGUAGCUAAUACCGCAUAACGUCGCAAGACCAAAGAGGGGGACCUUCGGGCCUCUUGCCAUCAAAUGUUCCCAGAUGGGAUUAGCUAGUAGGUGGGGUAAUGGCUCACCUAGGCGACGAUCCCUAGCUGGUCUGAGAGGAUGACAAGCCACACAGGAACUGAGACACGGUCCAGACUCCUACGGGAGGCAGCAGUGGGGAAUAUUGCACAAUGGGCGCAAGCCUGAUGCAGCCAUGCCGCGUGUGUGAAGAUGGCCUUCGGGUUGUAAAGCACUUUCAGCGAGGAGGAAGGUGGUGAACUUAAUACGUUCAUCAAUUGACGUUACUCGCAGAAGAAGCACCGGCUAACUCCGUG
rnacentral:rRNA from 1 species